rnacentral:lncRNA from 1 species
AAUAAUAAAUUUAAAUUAAAAUAUUUAUAUUAUUUUAAUUUUUAAUUUUUAAUUAUAUAAGUUUAAAAAUAAUUGGAAUAAAAAGAAUGUAAAUUAGUUUAUAUACUACNAUAUAUAUAGAGAGAGAAAACUAAAUUGCUAUAUAUAUUAUUAACAGUACCAAGUUAUUGAUACUAUUAGAGUUUUGGCUCUUGGACAAAGAGAUAUGCGAGACGAAGAGAUAUGCGAUUAAGAUAAUAAUAAUUUUGAGUUGUUGAUUAAAUAAUACGAUUUAACGGAUAAAAAUGGUUAAAGGAAUAAUCUAACAACGAAAACUUAUAGCAACGAGCUAACGCUUGUUGCUGUUUUUUUUUUUCUUUUUUUUUGAGAGAGAAAUAGGUAGCACGCUAUCCACUUCGUUUAUUUCAUUUAGAAAUAAACUUAGCUAAAAAUAUAAAUCAACUAGAAUUCAAACUUGGGUCUCGAGAAUCAACCACCAAACUCUUUGCCACUUAUACUAGGGACAGUCGGUAACGUUUGUUGCUGUUG